rnacentral:rRNA from 1 species
UGGGGAAUAUUGCACAAUGGGCGCAAGCCUGAUGCAGCAACGCCGCGUGAGGGAUGACGGCCUUCGGGUUGUAAACCUCUUUUAGUAGGGAAGAAGCGAAAGUGACGGUACCUGCAGAAAAAGCACCGGCUAACUACGUGCCAGCAGCCGCGGUAAUACGUAGGGUGCGAGCGUUGUCCGGAAUUAUUGGGCGUAAAGAGCUCGUAGGCGGUCUGUCGCGUCUGCUGUGAAAACCCGAGGCUCAACCUCGGGCCUGCAGUGGGUACGGGCAGACUAGAGUGCGGUAGGGGAGAAUGGAAUUCCUGGUGUAGCGGUGGAAUGCGCAGAUAUCAGGAGGAACACCGAUGGCGAAGGCAGUUCUCUGGGCCGUAACUGACGCUGAGGAGCGAAAGCGUGGGGAGCGAACAGGAUUAGAUACCCUGGUAGUCCACGCCGUAAACGUUGGGCGCUAGAUGUGGGGACCAUUCCACGGUCUCCGUGUCGCAGCUAACGCAUUAAGCG